GAUGAACGCUAGCUACAGGCUUAACACAUGCAAGUCGAGGGGUAACGAGAGGAAAGCUUGCUUUCCUUGUCGACGACCGGCGCACGGGUGAGUAACGCGUAUCCAACCUGCCCCCAACUAAGGAAUAACCUUGCGAAAGUAAGGCUAAUACCCUAUAAUUUCCUCAGAUGUCAUCUGACGAGGAAUAAAGAUUUAUCGGUUGUGGAUGGGGAUGCGUCUGAUUAGCUUGUUGGCGGGGUAACGGCCCACCAAGGCAACGAUCAGUAGGGGUUUUGAGAGGAAGGUCCCCCACAUUGUAGCUGAGACACAGUCCAAACACCGACGUGAGGCAGCAGUGAGGAAUAUUGGUCAAUGGGCGGAAGCCUGAACCAGCCAAGUAGCGUGCAGGAUGACGGCCCUAUGGGUUGUAAACUGCUUUUAUACAGGAAUAAAGUUAGCCACGUGUGGUUAUUUGUAGGUACUGUAUGAAUAAGGACCGGCUAAUUCCGUGCCAGCCGCCGCGGUAA
rnacentral:rRNA from 1 species